CUGGAGGUAUCAGAAGUGCGAAUGCUGACAUAAGUAACGAUAAAGCGGGUGAAAAGCCCGCUCGCCGGAAGACCAAGGGUUCCUGUCCAACGUUAAUCGGGGCAGGGUGAGUCGACCCCUAAGGCGAGGCCGAAAGGCGUAGUCGAUGGGAAACGGGUUAAUAUUCCCGUACUUGGUGUUACUGCGAAGGGGGGACGGAGAAGGCUAUGUUGGCCGGGCGACGGUUGUCCCGGUUUAAGCGUGUAGGCUGGUUUUCCAGGCAAAUCCGGAAAAUCAAGGCUGAGGCGUGACGACGAGGCACUACGGUGCUGAAGCAACAAAUGCCCUGCUUCCAGGAAAAGCCUCUAAGCAUCAGGUAACAUCAAAUCGUACCCCAAACCGACACAGGUGGUCAGGUAGAGAAUACCAAGGCGCUUGAGAGAACUCGGGUGAAGGAACUAGGCAAAAUGGUGCCGUAACUUCGGGAGAAGGCACGCUGACAUGUAGGUGAAGUGAUUUACUCAUGGAGCUGAAGUCAGUCGAAGAUACCAGCUGGCUGCAACUGUUUAUUAAAAACACAGCACUGUGCAAACACGAAAGUGGACGUAUACGGUGUGACGCCUGCCCGGUGCCGGAAGGUUAAUUGAUGGGGUCAGCGCAAGCGAAGCUCCUGAUCGAAGCCCCGGUAAACGGCGGCCGUAACUAUAACGGUCCUAAGGUAGCGAAAUUCCUUGUCGGGUAAGUUCCGACCUGCACGAAUGGCGUAAUGAUGGCCAGGCUGUCUCCACCCGAGACUCAGUGAAAUUGAACUCGCUGUGAAGAUGCAGUGUACCCGCGGCAAGACGGAAAGACCCCGUGAACCUUUACUAUAGCUUGACACUGAACAUUGAGCCUUGAUGUGUAGGAUAGGUGGGAGGCUUUGAAGUGUGGACGCCAGUCUGCAUGGAGCCGGCCUUGAAAUACCACCCUUUAAUGUUUGAUGUUCUAACGUGGACCCGUAAUCCGGGUUGCGGACAGUGUCUGGUGGGUAGUUUGACUGGGGCGGUCUCCUCCUAAAGAGUAACGGAGGAGCACGAAGGUUGGCUAAUCCUGGUCGGACAUCAGGAGGUUAGUGCAAUGGCAUAAGCCAGCUUGACUGCGAGCGUGACGGCGCGAGCAGGUGCGAAAGCAGGUCAUAGUGAUCCGGUGGUUCUGAAUGGAAGGGCCAUCGCUCAACGGAUAAAAGGUACUCCGGGGAUAACAGGCUGAUACCGCCCAAGAGUUCAUAUCGACGGCGGUGUUUGGCACCUCGAUGUCGGCUCAUCACAUCCUGGGGCUGAAGUAGGUCCCAAGGGUAUGGCUGUUCGCCAUUUAAAGUGGUACGCGAGCUGGGUUUAGAACGUCGUGAGACAGUUCGGUCCCUAUCUGCCGUGGGCGCUGGAGAACUGAGGGGGGCUGCUCCUAGUACGAGAGGACCGGAGUGGACGCAUCACUGGUGUUCGGGUUGUCAUGCCAAUGGCACUGCCCGGUAGCUAAAUGCGGAAGAGAUAAGUGCUGAAAGCAUCUAAGCACGAAACUUGCCCCGAG
rnacentral:rRNA from 1 species